rnacentral:tRNA from 1 species
GGUGUUGUAGCUCAAUGGUAGAGCACUUGCCUAGCAUGUUUGAGGCGCUAAGUUUGAUCCCCAGCACCA